UCGCUACUACCGAUUGAAUGGUUUAGUGAGCUUCAUGGACUGGGCUUGGCGGAGCUUGCUUUGCCUCGCAUUGGAAAGUGAAACAAACUUGAUCAUUUAGAGGAAGGUG
rnacentral:rRNA from 1 species